rnacentral:lncRNA from 1 species
ACCAAAUUAUUAAUCUGUUCAAUUUUCUGUGGAGUCAGCAAUACUUUGUUGCCAAAAACUAGUCUAGUCUAGGGGAGUAUUUCCAGCCACAAAAGGGAAAUCACCAAGAAAGAUUGUUCCUCUACUACAGUUCCCGGCUGCCAGACAUCUGUGCAUGCAUCCAGAUAUAGUAAGUUGGAUGACAGCUUUUACAGUAACGACAUUGUUGGAUCAACUGAUAUUCUUGACUCCCAGGUUUCUGCAGGUGUACUGAAUUACUGAUCACGAUACAACUUGUCUAGGUUUCACCUACUAUAUUACAGCAAUGAAAGACCUCUAGUUCUAGUCAUCCUGUUCAUGAAAAGUUGUCUCUUUCUUAUCUUCUUUGCCAGGACCAUAAGCCUUGUUGCAAAUGAGGAAAUAAAUCAUGUUAAGCAUACUUAAGCCAGCAAGCACCCAGUAGUAAUAAUCAUAGUGACCCUUAUUGACAUUGGUCGAAAUCCAGCUUUCUUUUCCUCCCAGUUUCGAGAGUUUGUCGAUGGCGUUCAUAAGAAAACUUGAAACAAGAUUUGCCGCAGAUAUCCCAAGUAAGGAAAGAGUGGAAGAUAUACUUGACAUGCUUCUUGGAAACUCGGAAUAAUAGAACUCAUUCUGUGCAACCAUAUUUGCAAUUGCGCCAGCGCCGAUCAGGAAAGAUGGGGGAAGAAGCCAAAGUAAUGACAUGUCCACCACUGCAUCUGAAUCAUCUGAAUAUCCUUCCCUGAUAGCCAGACUACGUCGUUUAAGCUCCACUGUUGCUGCCACUAUCAUGCCUACAAAAGAAAGGGCCAUUCCAAUUCCCAUUCUUUCCCUUGUCGAGAGAUGAACAGGUCUCCCCAAAAUUCUUGAUGCAACAGGCAGGAUUAUCUGAAGAUAAAAAGGUAUCCAUAGUACUGCACCGACAACGGCAAACAUACUACAAGAACCAGCUGGCAUUUCAAAGUUCGGACCAAAUUUUCGGUUCAUGGACUUUGCUUGAAGUACAGAAAAUGAGAGCUGGCUGUUAUUUACUGACAUUAUCAUUCCUGCGGACCAUAAGGGGAUCACUCUGAGAAUCGACUUCAGGUCCUCAACUUGAUUUACUGUGCAAAGACUCCAGGGAUCUGCCGCUGUUCCAUCUGUUGUCAAGUCUUUCUCAGGAUCUAGGAUGAUGCAAGCUUUGUUUAAGAACCUGGAAGACAAAUUAUUGAAGCUUCCAUAAGAGAAAUAUUGUUUAAAUGACCAACUAGGAACUUCUCUCUUGAAUGUUCAAACUCCGAAUGACUUUAAAGAGAAAUUCUCAGACUCAAAAAAUGCUUUUACAAAUUGUUGAAUUGGCCACCGCAUGAAAAAUAAAAUAGGAUUAAUUGCAAACCAAUUAUAGCUACCAAAUACAGGCAACCUUGCAUAAUCAAAAUAAGUUGCUAAGAACUUGAAAUUAUCCAUAUAUAUAUGAAUCAAGAAAGAAAUACAGCCCUAGCCUGCGAGCGGAGCUAAUCAUUUUGGAUAAGAGCAAAUUAAGAUCACACCUUAGUUUUUCACUUGGAAGACAAAUUGAUGGACCCCUGUGGUGAUGGCACAGCAAUUUUGAGCUCUCUGUUGACAAUUCUAUAUGCCGUUUCCUAUAAGAGGCUACAGCCACUUGAAGCAUUUCGACAAUUAAACUUGAUUUAGCCUUCAACUUGACAUAUAAGUGCGAAGCCAGGGAGAAUGACAGAGUUGACAACAACAUGAGCAUGACUGGAAUGCCAAAACCAACUUGCCAUCCCAAGCUUUCUUGUGCGUAGACAAUGCAAGUAUAAGCAAUUAAAAGAGAAAUUGUGGAUAACGCAUAGUACCAGCUGAAAUAGGACUCCAGAACCCGUCCAUUGUUGUGGCCACCUGCUUUUUGUAACUGAUCAGCACCAAAAGCUAAGGAUGAAGACCUAAUUCCUCCCAAUCCAAUAGACGUGAGUCCAAAACAAGAACACAAGAGAAAGAGUUGAAAACUUGUCGCAGAGCUACAACUUUUAUUCGAUUCAUGACAUGGAGGCGGCUUUACUUGUGGAAUCAUAGCUGUUAGCCACAAAAGAGCCAUUCCCUUCAAUCAAAGUAGAAACUCAUUUUCAGAUGAUUCCAUUAAAAUUAGAAAUAAUAUAGUAAAUUUGAAUGCACCCCUCUGUAUUACUGGUCAGUAGUGUAAUUUUUUCUUGCAGCAGCACGACUACUUCGGUGCAUCAACAAGUGAAGCCUUAAAGAAAGAUGCAGAGAAUUUAAAUUUCUUUAAGUUUUACUAGUGUGAUGUGCAACAAAUUAUCUUCUAAAAGUCAGGGGUUCUUUUUCAGUUUUCUUCACUGCACAUGAAAUAUCGAUGGAGCAGGAUUUGUAACUGAAAAAUAUAAAGCUGCUGUGUGCGUGAAGAAACUAAUGGCCUGCAUUUUCGGAUGACAUCAUGCCAUGUAUGAUUGGAAUCCUCUCAAAAAAAAAACAAGAAGAAGAUGAUUAUGGAGUUCCAUUCCAAAAGUUCAGAAAGAGCUAAUAUAAAAUGAGAGUUGCUGGAAGCAGAAUUAGACAAGAAAGUCUAAAACAUGCCUUUUCUGCAAUUUGUUUCACCAGUUUCCUAUGUGAACAUGUUGGUUCUUAAUUGAAAUGAUCAAUUAUGGUUCUAAACACAGGGUCAGAACAGAUAAAAUUUUGUCACUGCAUGAAGAUAAAAAGUGAGAAAUGAUGUAUUUUUCAGACAAAAAAAAGGAUCUGACAGCGGCAGGAAAAUGACUUACACCACUCUUAAGCAACAAUGAUGUAAUCUUAAAGUGCACCCCAACUCCUCCUCCUCACAAGAUCAUUAAGCAUUUUUAAAUGUUCUUUGAUCCAUCCUGGCCGCCAGAUUGUAAAUCAAAGAAAAAAGCCAGGGAUACUCUAUAAAAUUCGUCCACUUUCACAGUACAAUCUGAAGUUGAAAAUGACAUGAUGGAUGAAAAUGCAAGAAAUCGGAACAAACAGCUUCUUAUGCUAUGAAAAAUUAAACAUAAUUAAAACAAAUAUUAACUACUGAAAACACUGAAGUGUGUAAAUGGGGUAUUUACCAGAAGACUGAUAACACAACCAAAUAAGAUCAUCCGAAAUCGACCCAGAAAUGAAUCUGCAACUAUAGCACCAAGAAGGGGCAUGAAAUUUGUUGCUGCUGACCAAAGAAAGAUUAUGUUAGACCCAGUAGCCAUGUUCAGAUGGUACUCUCCCGUCAAGUACAGAAUCAUGCUAGGCUGUAGCCCACAGCUUGCCACCUGCGCAAAAGCCUCAUUGGCUGCCCCCGGAAAAAAACCAUUAAAACACAGAACGGUCAAUUCUUAAUAGAAAAUUUCACUAAAACUAUUCCUCAAUAAACUUCAAUUAAACAAAGACACAUAGAAUGAGAAUCAGAUAUACCUAGUUUUAAUAAGGGUCGUUUGUUUCUUGUUUUCAAAGUGAGGUUUCAGUCCUCACCGUCCCCCUUUCCACCCCACCCCUUCUUCAAAUUCAAAGGAAAAGAAGUUACCUAAAAUGAAUGGCAUGGUUCUGAAGCCACCCUUUGCUGAAAAACAGUCAUGAUCAUCGUUAAGUAAAGGCUUUGUAGUCAUACUUUCUUGUUCAUCAUCAGCAGAAUUCUCCGUCAUGCAUGUAGGGACUUCUACUUCUUCUACUGCAAUAAUAUGUGUCGAGUAUUUUGAUCUUGAUUCUCGUCCAACAACCAUACUGAGCACACGGGAAAACAAUUACUAAUAUUUUAUAUGAACAAUUUCAUACUAAGCAUACGACCUAAGCCACAGAUGCAAACUACAAGAUAAUCCACCUUCUCCCGCUAGAUUUUGCAGCUCCAUAGCAUUAGACAGAGGAGAAAGAAGAAUGAGUGGACUUGCAUUCAAAUCUCAAGUAGUGUUUGGAUUGCAUUUUUUUGAAUUUUUUUUUAAAAAAUUAUUGUAACAAUUUGAUGCGAAGUAAAGAGGUAUUAAGAAAUUGUGUUCACGAAAAAUGUAAUAAUUUUUAAUAAAUUAACUGUCCAAACACAGCCAAACUCUAAUGGGCUGGGGGACUAAUGAUGUGACGUGACCUAAGCUAGUGGCUACUACCGCCAACUUACCUUUUGUGGUCCGUCAAUUUGAUACCAAUUUAUGGUCCAACCAUCCAGAUUGAAUUGCUGAAUCCCACAUACUGCUCUUUAAUGUACGGUAUAGUCUUUUUGAUGUACAUGACGGAUUAAGUGGAGAUGGAAGUUGAAUGGAUGAAAUUGAUGGUUGGACACAAUUUCUAGGGAUUGCAAAUUUAUUGUCUUUUUGCUUGUUAUUGCGUUGGUGUUCUUCUGUACAAUUAUAGUUAUUGUGCGAGUAUUUAUAUAUAUUGUACAUAUAAUGAGAAUUAGUGAUCAUAGAAGCCCCUAACACUUAGCUAUAAACAAUUUUUUUUGUUGUCAAUACAGAAAGUGUUCUAAUUUUCUGUUGGAUUAAUAUCCUUGUACUUGUGCACCUAACCCCCCAAAGAUACACAAGUAAUAGAGAGGUGAUUCGAAUACUCGAUCUCGAAACCUAAUUAGACUAUUCCAAAAUCAUCCGAACCAACCCAAGAGCAGCUAUAAACAAAUUACCUUGUAGUGUUUUUCGAUGGAGGAUGCAUUUGGAUUUGAAAUUCAAAUCUCUUAUCCAAGCAAGUGAAGAAAUUUGUAUGCUAUCGUUUGGAAAAAAAAAAUAAUAAUUAGUUUUGACCAAUGAUAGUGAAUUAAUCUAAAAUAAUAUUUUGCUUGCAUCAUAAACACAAUUCUCAACCCACUUUUUUAUAUUCCCAACCACCUUUUUAUCUCACAUACAUUAGAUCACAAAAAGUGUGACAGUAAUUAUUUCAAAUAAUAUUUCAAAUAAUACUCUAUCCAAACAAACCACUAGUAUUUCAAAUAAGACUUUAGAUCUCAUUAAUUAUAUGUUUAAUACAAUUCAAAUAAGCACGUAGAGUUUUUAUUUGUCAAGAUUCAAAUUGGUCAAGGACGUAGUUGCUCCUGACGAUAACAAAAUUUCCCUUCAUAUCUCUUCAUGUCUCCAAUAAUUUACAUCUUUUCUUACUACAGUGAGUAGUGUACAGCUACACCACCGCCCCCCGCUGCCGGUACCAGCAUCUUCUGUGGCCUGAACCGAUGCCACCAUUUAGCGUUGCCGGCAAGAUUGGCUCUAGCAAGACAAAAUGAUUCGUUCAUUUUAUCGUGUCAUUUGAGCACUCCGAACUCGUUUAGAAGUUUGUGUAAUGCCUUGAUCGAGAGGAGUGAUUGAAGGAAACUGGCUGUGGUGGAACGCAGGGGAUUUGGGGCAGGGACGGUCAUCAGUAUGACCGUCCUUGCACGGUUGAGGGCCAAGAUUGGCCCUCAAAAUUUUGUGCGGCUGAAAUUACACCAUGUAACUCGAUUUCCGCGUCAAGUGUGGGACCCACCACUAUCUGUUGUGAAAAUACAUCCUGUGAAAAAAAAGUUACACGAUGUACAAAGAAAGUUACAUGGUGUUGAUAAUGACCAAAAUUGGCAGCAACCAUCCGUGCCCCGAGUCCGAAGGCAGCAGAUAAGGUUGGGAAAGAAGAUUCCUAACAUGAGUGCUGGUGACUUUUUUUUGUUUGGAUAUAAGAUUAUUUGAAAUAAUUAUUAUGACACUUUUACAAUAUGAUAUAUACGAGAUAGAGAUAGAAAGAUGAUUAGAAAGAUAAAAAAAUAUAUUAAAAUUUGCAUUUGGAAAGUAAGCAAAUUAUUUUUUUUUUCAAAUCACUUAUAUCCAAACAAACUUUUCAAAUCACUAUUUGUAUGUAUAGGCAAAAGUUUCUGGAUUUGAUAUUAUUUAGAAUUUUAUGGGUUGUUGUUCUUUAUCUUUACAGAUUUGAGUUUUUGGACUUUUGUAUUAAUUUUCCUUUUUAAUCAUUAUCUGAAUUGUGGUUUUUGUAUAAUUUUUUGGACAUUUAUUGUAGAAGGAAUGAAAAGGAAAAUGAGAGAAAAAACUAAUAACUUUUAUUAAGAUGAGUGACGUGGCUCCAUAGAAACCAUAAGGUCUAUAUGUGGGCUGAUGGACCGAUGCAUCCAAGUAUUUGUACUUUACAUUUGGGUCAACGCAAUAAGUAACUUGCCAAAUUUAUCUUUAGACGUGGGACAUAUAACGGGUCCAUAACUCAUUCCGGCCAAAAUUGGCUUGAAAAGGUGUUGAAAAGGUGUUGUAGGUUAAUUUUCUUAUCUCAAGCAAUCUGGACAAAUCUUUGUGAUAGUUCAAGAAAUAAAGUGGGAUUAAGUUAAACUGGGGUUUAAUGGGAAAUUCAAACUGUAUUAAUUGAAAUUUGAGGAAAAUAAUGGCAAAUUCUUGUGGUCAAGUGAAAAUAUUGUUUAAGAUUGCAAAAAUUCUUACAGCUUAGUUUUUUGACGUCAAGAAGUUGGACAAAUUUUUGUUAUGGAUCAAAAAAUAAAGUAGGGUUAAGUAUUUAAAUGUAAAUGAGUUAAUAAAUAUGACAAUGUGUUUUAAAGUGUUUAGAUGUAGAGGGGCACCCCAUACCCUUAAAUCGGACAGCUCCUUAGAUUAUGGCAAUAGCUUUAUUCAAUUUUUUAGCCUAAGAGUUUUAGCUUGAAUGACUUAAUAGUCAAGCAGAAGCCAAAUUGAUUUAAGUUGAUAUUUCCUUGUAUAUUCAACUUAAAUUUAAACACUCACAUGAAUAAUCCCUUGCAUAUACACCGUCACAUAGUACAUUUUCACAUUUUUAAAAAUUUAACACCUUAGUCCUCUUUUAAUUAGAAUUAAUUAACACUAUAAAAGGGAAAAAGAUGAAAGAUCUUCCAAAACAUAUGAAAUGAAUAAAUAAAUGCAGAAUCAUAUCUAUGUGUGUAUAUAUUUAUCAUCAAUUGCAUCAUAUAUUUUCACAUUUUUAAAAGUUUAACACCUAAGUCCUCUUUCAAUUAAAAUAAAUUAACACGGGGAGGGUUGGGUUGGGUGGUACGAGGGGAGGGAGUGUAAGCAAGAGGUCUCGGGUUCGAGUCCUCCCGCUUACACUAAAAGAAAAAAUGUAAAUAUAUAUAUAUAUAUAUAAUAAUAAUAAUAAAUAAAUUAACACACUUUAAAAAGUUAAAAGAUGAAACAAGAUGAAAGAUCUUUCAAAAUACAUGAAACAAGUAAAUGAAAGAUCAUCAAUUGCAUCAUUUAUUUGUACCUUUGUGAAAGUAACAACUUCACUUGUAUUUGCUUAGUUAUAUGUAUGUAUGCAUUAAACUCCAUAGAAAAGCGUAUUUAGAAUUUUAGAAAUAAUUUCACAAUUUAUGGAUGGCCAAAAUAAAAUUAAGAAAAUGUUACUAGUUGAGUAAAAUUAUGAAUGGGGAGGGAGGGCUAAAUUAAUUAGUUCGAAAAAAAAAAAGUGUAAGUGAGAAGCCCCCAUUCGUGCCCUAAUGCUCACAUUACAAAUAAAUAAAUAAGUACAAUUAUGAAUCACUCCACAGUUAACUAGUGGAUGCUGGGUAUUGGAUUAUGAGAAAGUGGGCCAAUGAAGGUGGUACCAAGAGAUGGUACAGAUAGGGAACGGGUUUCAAUUAUUUUUGGGAUCAUAAUUUAAUAGCAGAGAUUAUUAGAGAUCAUUCAGCAACGUAAUUUUCAUGUCACGGCCAAACACAAACACACGACCUUACCUAGCCAACAUGUGGUGCCAUAGGAAACAUCUACUAAAAAUAUCCAGACUUGACGUUUUCAGAAACUUGUUAUUGGGAUCUCGUGCAAAACGUGAGGUUGUCGUGCAAAACGUGGAGGAUGUCCUGUGGGGUCCCGUGCAAAACGUGAGGUUGUCCUGUGGUACAAAAAUGUUUGCACUAUGAUCAGAUGAAAGAACCACUGGGCCAAUGGCUCAGUGCCAAUGGCUAAGAGUUGUGCCAUAGCACUUUUUUUAUUUAGUUGGGUCUGUAUACCCACUAGCUCCUACAAAAAAAAAAUAAUCAGAUGAAAUAAUCUAGGUGGAAGUUCUUUUUUUUUUUCCUAAAGGAAACUACUCUAUGGGAAUCGACUUUAAGAAAGAUAUCCCACUGUGAUCAAUAAAUCUUGUAAUAAUGUACCACGGAUGCUAAAACGCCCUGUAUUACUAUUGAACAAUUGGAGGAAAAGGUCAUAGUCGAAGACGAAGGCAACUAGGAAAAGUGACUUUUUCUUGUAUUUGUAUUUGUGUGUGUGUGUCUAUACAUACAUAUAUAUAUAUAUAUAUAUAUAUACAUAUAUAUAUAUAUAUAUUUGUAAAUGAGAGGUGUUGAAUACAGGGCUUUCUACUUAUAAUAUUUUUCACCUUUCCAUCCAAUCCAACCCUCUCUGACAAAAAAGAAGCGGUUAUGAAAGUGGAGAAGAUGGUUAGUUGUUGACCUAAGUUUUUCUACAAUUGAAUUAAGGGUUAAUUACAAUUUAUCCCUUGAAAUUAUACUAUGACUCUUACUUUACUCUCUAAUUUUUAUUUUUUGUCACUUAAGCUCAUGGGAGACAAAAAUACCCUUCUACUAUAUAGGUAUAUUUUCCUCUCUUUUAUUUUUUUUAGUCAAAAUUAGUUUUUUCAAAUUUUUAUUUUUGAGCAAAUAAAAAAUUUUGCUAACAAAAAAAAUUAAAGAUAUUCAUUUUCUAAUUUGUAAUUAUGAAGAAACUACAUAGAAUUUUUUUUACAUAAUUAGUUAAUUAUAAAUCAAUAUCAUUUAUUCUUCUAUUAUACAAAAAAUUUUGUAUUCUAUUUUCUUUUAAUUGGACAAUUCAAAAUCGCCAUUGUUUUACAAUCACAUUUUUUUUUUGUCAAACGACAAUGUAUAAUCACACAUUCACAUGUUAGUUAUCUGGACAUUUUUUGUUCUUUUUUCUCUAAUGGAUAUUUGCUUAUUGCAUUAUUUUUUUGGGAUAAUUUUCAAAACCUUUCUUGAGGUUUCUGAUAAUUUCACUCGAAUCCCCCCAAUUUUAGAAAAUUAUACUGACCUCCCUCAAUUCAAUAAAAUGACUACAAUGUCCUCUAUUUAAUAGAUAAUUUACCACAUAUGUGGGACACAAAAACCAAACCAAAAGUAAAAGAAAAAAUAAAAACCUGCAACAACUCGUUAUCAUCCCCAACCCUACUUUAAUUAACAGUAGUUCCUUUUUCUCUCUCCCUCCUUUUUUUUCUACCUCUUAUGAUUCUCUCAUUCCUGCCUAUAACUCCAUAGUUUUUUGCACCCAUCAACUACACCACCAUGCAAACCUACUCGAAGUGUUUAUUUCAUGUCUACUUCUCUCUUUCUGUGAUGGUUAACUAUCAGCCCAUCUUAUUUAUUUUUUCUCGUAUUAUAAUUUGCAUACAUUAAAGAAUCAAAAUUUUCAAAAUUACAAAUUGAGGAAGCAAAUGAAAAUUUCAUGGUCAAAUUAGAUGGAGAUGAUGAAGGUGGUUGUGAUAGAGAGGGAAAAUGAAAUUAAUGGGCUAUUGUCGAAAGAGAAAAAAGGGACGAAUUUGGGUUAUGCUAUUAUGUCUGUUACGAACUAGAAUCAAAUAUCUUCAUUUGGUUUCAUUUUUGUUUGAUUUACAAGUAUUGGUGAUGGUUUGUCACAAAGAUUAGUUUCUCUAUUCCUAACGCCAUUGGUGUAUGGGGUUACUCUUAGCAUAAGCAUCAAUAGUUGUUAGCCAAGUUCUUUUCUGUUCAAGGAAGGUGACAGGCAAUAAGUAGUAAGUUCAUAAUUUGAGGUGUUAGAUUAGUCAAUAGACAAAAUAUAGUGUUAACUUGGGGUAGGAAGCUUUUUGAGGGUAUUUUAGUUGGUAGUGGUGGUUAUAAUCGAUUUGUAGAGAAAGUGAUUUGGGUAGAGUUUGAGAUUUUGAUAAUGCCGAAAUUGAUAGAAUUUGGAGCUUAAGUUGGAGUGCAAUUUUGGUAAAUUUUGGGAUUUUAGUGAUACCAAAUUGAUAGAAUUUGGGGAUUAAGUUGGAGUUUGCUUGAACAGGUUGAUAAAGUUUUGGGUUUACAAUUAUCGUGGAACAUAGCAAGUUUGGAUGCAAGUGUUUGUUAACUUUUUUUUUUUUUUUUUUGGUUAAAUUGAUCACUAAACCUUUUUUCACUUUCUUUUGAUGUAUGAUAUUGCAUAAGGGCAUUUUAUGAUACUUAAGUAUAAUUCUAACAUGAUGGGUCUAUACUGUUACUUAAACAGUAAAAGUAAGAGAGGUUAGUGUGAUUUUCUAAAUUUGGGGGAGUUGAGUGAAAUUGUCAGAAACCUCAAGGGGGGUUUCUGAAAUUAUCCAUAUUUUUUUCUUUGCCUUUAUAAAGAUAAUCCAUUGUUGGUGUAUUCCCUAAUGUACAUACUCCUCUCAUGGGAAACUUUAUCACUAUCAAUUAUAGUAAUUAAAAUUGAACCACAAGUUAAAAUUAAAUAAAGGAAGGAAAUAAAAAUUUUAAUAUUAAGAACUUGGCAUAAUAGAGAGGUAUUUUUAUCUCUCAAGGGGUUAAGUGACAAAAAAAAAAGUUAGGAAAAGCCAGGAUAUACCUCAGAGAGAUAAAUUAAAAAUAACCCUUGAAUUAAAUCAAUGCUGAGCAAAAUCAAUAAAGCAGAUCGAGAUGCUGAUUUCAAACAAGGAAAGUCUAAGUCAGGUCUCAAUGACUAUUGAUGGAAAUAGGCCAUAGUAGUAGCAAGAUUGUCUUCUUUUUUUUUUUUUUUUGUUAACACAGGGGUGUCCGGGUACUCAAAACCUGGACAAGUCAGGAAGAUCGCCAUACCCUAAGGAGGGGGAGCGGACCGCUCGAGUUACCCCGCGGGGGCAGAAGACCCGCCACAUUGUGUGGCAAAUUUUGUGGGAGGCAGGGGUUGAACCCCUGACCUCCAGCACCACCGUAGAGGUGAUGACCACUGGACCAAAUGGCCAGUGGCUAGUAGCAAGAUUGUCAAAUGGCAGUACAUGCAUGGUCCCUUUGAUCAUUUAAAAGACAGCUAUAUUAUUAGUUUCCUUAAAGGGACAUUCCACCAAACACACUGACCCGUCAAACUGAAAACUACUAGAACUUGAGCGGUUUAGAAUCCAAGCGUUGUGCCAAAGCAGUUCUUUGGUCUUGUAAGGUUUGUGUAUCUGCUAGUCCCAAACAUAGUCUCUUUAGGCUCCCCCUCCCUUGUAGUAUAGGAUAGAUAGGUAAUACAAUAGUUGUCGUCUCCGGAGAAAAAAAGAAAAAGAAAAAAAAACGUUAAGUUUGAGUUCAAAUUUUCUGUUUUUUUUUUUAUUUUCAUUUCUUAAAUUUCAUCUUUCUUUUGAUAAAGAAAAAAUAUUCAGAGAACUACUACAAUCUGAAAACUUAUGGAUUCUAACAACUUAUGCAUAAUUUAGACUAGUUACUAGUACAAAUUCUCUUGGUAAAAGAGUCGAACAAUUGCUAAAUUGCUAACUGGACUCGGAGCUAGACCUGAAGCCUAUGUGAUCUUUCAAAUUUAUGUGCAUCAGCUUACACUAGAUUUUUUGGGCAUGUAAAUAGAAAGAAUCAAAACAUCGAAUACACAGAAAAUUUAGAAAUCUGCACUCCGGACAAGUGUUUACUAGAAAACAAGUUAGGGAAGUUUAGAAGGAGAGGUCACUUUUAAUUGUUAGCAAUAUCUACACAUCAAUUGUGAAAAUGACCAAAACAUCUAUAGUAUAUUUCUAUGCCUUUGUGCGUAUUUCUGUACUCACACGCGAAAAUGACCAAAAGAUAUAUAGUCUAUUUCUAUGCCCUUAUGUUUAUUUCUGUACUCACACAUGAAGAAAACCAUUUGGUUGUCAAGAGUGAAGAGUAGAAGAAACAUAAAUAGAAGGUUCCUUUUGGCUCCAAAAACAAAGAGUUUAUUUUUUUUAAUUUAAAAUAUUCUUAAUCACUCUCUUUCUUAUUGUGGAACUGUUUUAUGUUACCUUAUCCUGUAAGCUAUUAGUAGGAUUUUCUACAGGAAGGAAUUUUAGUAAUCAUAUGGUUAAGGUUUCACCCACAGAUAUAUCAAAAUGAAGACUCGUUCAGUCAAUAAAAACUUAUUAAAGAAUUUAUGGUGCUAAUAAUCUCGGAACAAACAAUAUAAUUAGAUUUUUGCCGUACCGUAAUAUAAUUAUAUAUACUCUCCUAAUUUUCACUUUCAAUGUAACAAAUGUCAGCCUUUACCUAUAAAAUAUUAAUAUGAAAUGCUAAAAUGUAUUUUCAUUUCCAAAUUGCCAUCAUAUGGCUUAUAGGUAAUUGAUGUAACUAAUUCAACGAAAAAAAUAACUUGAAAAUGCACCAAAUAGUUGAAAAAAAAAUUUAUAACCAAAAAUCAUGUAUGGCAGGCUAAAAGAGUUAAAUAGGCUGAAACAAACAGUAGAGAGAAACGAUAUCAAAUUGUUGAUGCUUGAAAUACGUAGGUUCACAAGAAAUUGAAAUAGCAAAUUUGACUUUAAAAGGGCUUGAAAUUUAAAAAAAAAAAAAGGAGAAAAGCAUAUUCCAUUAGCAGUGAUGUAGUAGGCCACGUGAUCACAUUUUAGCAGUUUGUGAAAAUGAAUGUCUUAAUUAUUAAUAUCUUAAGGUCAUCUUAUUUCCUUUUUAUUGUAUUUUCCAAAGUCCUUCAAUUGAAUUUAGUUGAGUUUAUGAGUAUACAAGGGUAAUUUGCAAAAGAAAACGCGUUUUAGCAAAGUGAAAUUGUUAAAAUAAAAAAAAAAAAAACCUCAAGGAAGGCUUCUGAAAUUAUCCCUUAUUGGUAUUACAAGUAAUAAAAUGGCAUUUCUGUAAUUAAUUGAAUACUAUUAAUAUUAGUUACAAGAUAACCAACAAGUCUGGUUAUAAAUUAUAAUGCACUGUUAUGGAUGCUGAAACUGUCCUACGUACAUUACAUUACUUCUUAUUCAUUUGGAGGAAAGGAUCAUGAUCUGAAACGAAGCCAAGUACAAGAAGAUGGCUGUGCAAGUGGGAAGCACGGUUAGUUGUGGGGAAAAAUCCACUUUUCAUCCUCAAACUUUGUGACGAAGAUACAUUUGGUCCCUAAACUUUUCGUCAGAACACAUUGAGUACAUGAAUUAAUGAUUUGUUGCCACAUUUAGUCAAAAAAGGGAAUUUACUCAAUUUGGACGGUGAAGACCACACGACCGUUAACAAAUGUCCAAAUAUCAAUUUAUAACCAACACAAGUUAGACACAAGUCCACACUUGACUCUCUCUCUAACCCACUGCUUUUCUUCUCCAAGUUUCCCCCUUUCCCACUGAGUUAAUGAAGUGAAAAGCUGCUUGAGAUUAGCAGAGUUAAUGGAGUGAUUCAACAAAUCUUUUCCAAUCCAGUAUAUUUAAUAUAAAUUAAAUGAUUCAGAGUAAAAUAUUCAUAAAUAACUAUUACUUUGUUCGUGUAAUAGAGGAAACCCAUAAAGAACUGAUAUGUUAUAGGCAAUUUCUUUUUUUUUUUUUUACUUUCACGUAUUUAAUUUAUAUUAAAUACAAAACCUACUAGUUUUCCUUUCGUAAAAAUAUUAGUAUAUCACUUUUUAAAUUUUACUUACAAACAUUUAUGUAUUUAACAUAAAUUAUAUGAUUCAGAGUAAAAUGCCUAUAAAUAGUUAGUAUUUUAUUCAUAUAAUAGAAGAAACCCGUAAAGAGCUAGUAAAAAGUGGGUAAUUUCUUUUUUUACUUUCACGUAUUUAAUUUAUGUUAAAUACAAAACCUACUAGUUUCCCUUUCGUAAUAAUAUUAGUGUAACACUUUUUGAAUUUCACUUAUAAACAUUUAUGUAUUUAAUAUAAAUUAAAUGAUCCAAAGUAAAAUGCUCAUAAAUAACUAAUACUUUAUUCAUAUAAUGGAAGAAACUCGUAAAGAACUGGUAUGUUAUGGACAAUUUUUUUUACUUUCAAAUACUUCAUUUAUAUUAAAUACAAAAUAUGCUAGUUUUCCUUUGAUAAAAAUAUUUGUGUAACGGCUGUUGAAUUUUAUUUGCAAAUAUUUAUGUAUUUAACAUAAAUUAAAUGAUUCAAAAUAAAAUACCCAUAAAAACUUGGUACUUGGUUCAUGUAAUAGAGAAAAGCCAUAAAGAGUUGGUACUUUAUGAGAUAUUUCUUUUUUAAAAAAUAUUUAAUUUCUUUUAAAUAGAUAACCUAUGUUGACCUUGGUUGAUCAGUCCUUGGUUUUGAUGAUUAACAAAUCAAAAUGUAGAUUUGGACUAAUGUUUUUAUGUGAGAAAAUUGUUAGAACAGGUCAUUGAUCCAAAAGAGAAUCGAAAAGAUUUGAAUCAAAGAGAAGUUAAGAAAUAUGAAGGUUCGAACGUAGAGGAUCGGACGUUCGAUGGAUGAUCGGUCGUCUGACUGACAACGAUACUCUUCGGACGCUUGGAUCGGACGCUCAUUCAUUGCUUCGGCCGUCCGACACAAAAAGAAUGAACGUUGAACAUUCUGACUUCUAUGGGACGCAGGGUUCGGACGCAAAACAAAUGGUUCGGACGUCCGAUAGGUGGUUCGGACGCAUGGUUCGGACGCAGAGCAAAUGGUUCGGACGUCCGACAGGCCAACGGCUAGUUUCGACAGCAUUUAAUAUUUGACCGUUGGAGAACCUUUUGGAGCCAUUUCUCACCUUCUAUAAAUACCCCAAAGCACAAGAAGACACUGACUUUUGGCCAACACUAAAUACAAGCUUACAAGUGAGAUCUUUGAGUAGAAAUAUUCUUUGUUGGUUGUAUAAGGGGUUGGGUAAGUUGGGUUGUGAGGUUGCUCAAGUGAAGAUUACUCUCUAGGAGGAGUAAAACCUUGGUGAAGGUGAACCUAUCACUUGGAGUGGUAAAACCUUGAUAAAGGUUGGCUCACUUGUAUAAAGUAGUUCUUAAUUGAAUGGGUAAGCUUUCAAUUGUAGCUAGUUGAGGGUUUACUUGGAGAGUAGUAAAAUUCCUUUGCUCAACCAAAGUAUGUUUGGGGUGAGGAAGGAGUGAGCCUUCACUUGUACAAGUUGGUUAGCACUACCAUCAAUUGAAGAAACUAUUUGGUGGAUUCAACUCCAAAUUUGGAAGAAGCUUGGGAGUUUGAUUGAUUUGAAUUUCUUUUACUUUAUUUUUCCUCUAUUUUUGUGCUUUAAAAUUGCUUAUAUUCUUUGUCAUUGUAUUUACUUGACUACUUGUCUGGUUGAAUAUUUUGGUUGUAUUCAUUGUAUUUACUUGACUACUUGUCUGGUUGAGUAUUUUGAUUGUAUUUGGUUGCAUCGGGGCUUACAACCUACUAGUUUUUUUCAUUUUACUUGAAUUUUACUUAAAAACAUUUAUAUUUUACUUAAAAACAGCUAAUAUACUCUAACACUUUUUGAAUUUUACUUAAAAACAUUUAUAUAUUUAUUAUAAAUUGAAUGUUUGAGAGUAAAACGUCCACAAAAAACUAGUAUUUUGAAUAGGUAAUGCCCGUUAAAUAAGAACUUAAAAUAAUACCAAAAUGGACAACUUGUUCAAGGAAUUGUGUAAUGUCCACAAAAAGCUGACUUGUGCUGGUUAUAAAUUGAUAUUUGGACAUCUAUUAACAGCCACGUGGUCUUCACCGUUCAAAUUGAGUAAAUUCCCAUUUUUUGACUAAAUGUGGCAAAAAAUCGUUAAUUCAUGUACUCAAUGUGUUCUGACGAAAAGUUUUGGGACCAAAUGUGUCUUUGUCAUAAAGUUUGGGGAUGAAAAGUGAAUUUUUCCCGUUAGUUGUGGGGCAAAUCUUUCUUCAAUUGAGUUAAAUCAGCGUUCGACAAAGCCAAUUUCUGUAAGCAUCAUAUUGUGAUGCCGAAUGUCCUAAUCGAGUAUUGGAAGAGGCAACAUUAAUUUGUGGCAAGAUUAAUCUGAAACUGCUUUCUUUGGAGUAGCAUAGAUGUUUGUAGCAACAUUUGUAGCAAUAUAUAAUUAAUUCAUUUGUAGCAAUAUAUAAUUAAUUUUUUUCCCCUGCAGAAAAAUGACAUGCCUGUAAUCGUAGACUCUGAUGGUGCAGGAGACAUGACACCCUUUUUUUUUUUUUUGGUAAGGGACAUGGCACCUUGUGCUUUCCAGAUUCAACACAAAGAUACUGGAAGUUGAUGUAAUUGAUACACAAGCACAUAAAAGUGCAGAAAUUUGUAUUGAGCAAAUUUCAUUAAGAAAGUAAGGUUGAAGAUGAUGAUCUUGAAGCGUAUUUGAUAUUAUGCUUAAGAUGUUAUUUGUUCCAACUACAUAAAGUAUUUGCUGCAAGUUAUGGCAAAUUAUAAUCUCUAAAAUAUAAUAAGAUUUAGAGAAACUUGAUAGCAAAUUUCAAGUAUUCUUUUACAAAAAAAAAGAUCAAGAUUUUUUUUAUUUGCCAAUACUUGUCAUUUUUAUAGGAAAAGACAUAACUCAACAAUCACAAAUUAAUCAGCCACAAUCUCCGACGUUUAUGGGCAUUAAGAGACAGCAAUUAAAUUCCAUUAAUGGAUAGAACAUGUCAAAAAUGUUCCAGAAAUUUUUUUAGCUUUUAAGAAGAUUCCACAAACGGAUCCACUUUCCCAUUGCCGCGGGUCCGAUCGCAAAUCAACCGUGUUGACUCACCUUUUGUUUAGAUAUGUCCAAAAAGUUUUACUUUCUUCGUUUCAACAAGUCUUAUUUCUAUUUUGUUUCACAAACUAUUCCAACAUUAGACUUCAUAGUAUACAUUGUGAUUAGGCAUAUUAAUGGGUCGGGUCUUAUCCAGAUCCAACCUAGACCCAAUAUAUUUGGGUAGGGUUUGGAUUUAAUUUCUCAAAUCCAAAUCCUAUCCAAACCCAGACCCUGUGAGAGAGUCGUGGGUCUGAUUUUCUAAAAUCCAAAUUCAUACCAGACCUUACGCAGGCCCAUAUUUAUUUAAUUAAAUAAUAUAUAUUAGUAAAUUUAUAAAAUAAUAUAAUAUUUUAUGGCUAUUUGAUCGAAUACAGUAAGAUUUUAUGGCAUUAGAAUCUGUAUUUAGUAUUGGUGGUUGGGUGAUUGAUGAGACUCGUGUCAAAUUGCUUCUGGAUAUGGUUGAAACAUUAGUGAUUACUGAUGAUUGAAUUGAAUCAAAAAAAAUGAGUAAGUGUUUAUAAAUUUUUUUAUUCUAUUAUUUAUUUGUCAUCGGUCCUUAGUCAAAUGACUUUUAUCUUAUUCAUUAUUUUAGUGCUGGAUUGCGAGAUAUCUACCAACAUUGUUUAAAUAAGAAAAAGAGGUACAAAAUUACAUUUUUUUAAUAAGACUAAAUAUUUAUAUAUGUUAUGGUUGUUUCCUUUUUUUAAAAACUAGUCCUAGUUGUCAUUGUAAUUGAUACAAAUUUUUCAAGAAAAGGAGAAAAGGUAAAGACAAACAAAUAAAAUAUUAGAUGUGGAUGCAGUUGAAUCUUUGAAAAUAUAUAGAAGUAGUCAAUAAUAAUUCUUUCUUUGAAUUUACAAUAUUGCAUUCAACUUGUUGAAUGUUAAUUUUAUUAUUUGAAAACAAAAAUUGGAUGGUAUUUAUAUUAUUUAUGAAUUUAAUAUAUUUUAAAUACAUUUUUAUUUUUGUAUGUUCAAAAAAUACCCAUGGAUGCCCAUUGGAUACUCAAAUCUAUAAGGAUUUGGGUAUGGACUUACUUUUUCAGCCCCAAAAGGGUAUAGAUCUGGAUUUGGAUCUAACUAAAUUAAAUGAGUCUGAAACUGGAUCAAAAUAAUCCAACCCAGACCUUACCCAUUAACAUGCUUAAUUGUGAUAAUGUGAUGGAAUGGAAACAUGGGCUCCAAAUGAAAUUUGGGUUUAUGACAUUUGCGUACUAUCGUUUUUAUUUGGAAAAGGACAAUAAUUGUGUGACAGACGCUCUAACGGGUGCGAUGCCCACUGGGUGCUGAGCAUCCAUUUCUAUUUUCUUUUUUCAUAUCUUUCCAUUUCUUUUGUUGUUCCAAGUAAAGCCUCCAGUGGCAAAAGCUGCGAAGGUUCUGUUCAAUCAAAGCCAUUGCCAGAAACCACCGUCAAGCAUCAAAGAUGUCAAGUACGGAUCUGACUUCUAUGGAUAGUUGGGAACAGGGGUGAGGAUGCUCACCAUGGCCACCCUCCGGUGCCGAGGUGAUCUCACUUCAUCCGUCACUCAAGCGCGGUCAUGUCGUGAACAUGACCCCUGGGUUCGGCCAGAUCUCCGGCCUACAGCAUGGAUGACCUCUAUACCUUAGGCUCCCACCUCGGUUGCACGCUGAUGAUGUCAACACGCUUGACAUCACACAGAACCAGGGCUUUAUCUAAAAAGCACCUGAUGCUCUUAAUGGCUGCUGCACAAGACUCCCUGUUAUCAUGUCCAGACGGCUACAGUGUCAGAGUCAGACCUCCUGGUAGGGGACAGAGCCGUAAUGACCAGGACGUGGGUCCCACUAGCAUGAGCCCUCCGUCCUGUCUUUCACUCCUACCCUAUAAAUACCCCCCACUCACUUUCAACAAGUAAGACUACUAUCACAUUCUUACUAUUCAUUACUAUUUAUUCUUCCUAUAUACUAACUUGAUCGUCGGAGUGAUCUCAGGGGAGAAAUCUCGUCAUCCACUUCGGACAAGCGAAUUCACCACACUUCACUUGAGAGAGGACUGAUUCAGGUCGGCUCUAUUACCCGCCAGAAAUCACAUAUUCAAUUGGCGCCGUCUGUGGGAAUUGAGAUUACAAAUAAAUGAGAUCCACGCGCUUCAGAAGCGAGAGAGUUCCUUCAACCGGGGCUGGGCAAGCCUCGGGAGCUCAGCAACGUCACAUCUCAGAGGAACAAGGGUCCCCGAGGACCCAACCCGUUAACAAAUACGCCAUCGCCAGGAUGACCGAGUUCGUAGCGGACAAUCCUAACAUUUUCGAAGAACUGGGGAGGUACUUCAAGAGGCAGGAAAAAGAAAAAAUCGAAUCCUCCAAGAAGAGAUCGACGAAGUCACCUAAAGUACCUUCAGGUGGGACUCUGAUGAUGGGCAUCUCUCCCGGAGUACCUUAAGGCGCGCCUCUUACCAAGGCGACCUCUAAAAUUGCCUCUAUUUUUCGGGCAUUUUCCCGAGGUCUGCUGGGAAGACGAGCUGAUGACGCACCUCGGCGCCCUGGGGGGCUAGCAGCCGACUACAUGAGGGUUCCGCCCUUUACCGAUGACAUCAAUGGGGAAAUGGUUUCCCCUAACUUCAAGCUCCAAGAAUUACAGCCCUACGAUGGUCGAGGUGAUCCCGAGGAUCACCUCCGUGCAUUCUUCUCGGCAUUCCGCCUCUACUGCGUCCCCGACGUCGUGAUUUGUCGAGCGUUCCCCAUUUUUCUACAAGAGACAGCCCGAAAAUGGUUUUGGGGAUUGGAACCAAGAAGCAUUUUCUCACUGGACGAGUUGGUGGACAGGUUUAUUCACCGCUUUGUAUUGUCUCGCCCGGUGAUAAAGACUUCAACCUACCUCUUGAACCUACAGUAGGCUCCCGGCAAGUCAAUGCGCUCGUAUGUGCAGAGGUUCAAUGAGGAAAAUGUGCAGAUACCUGAUCAAAAUGAGCAGGUAACCAUAGUUGCCUUCACCAACGGGCUGAUUGCAGGGAUCUUUCACACCAAGAUACAUCGGAAUUACCCCCGUUCACUUCGGGAACUUUGGGAACGGGUAGAUCAAGGAAUCAGAAGUGAGGACCUGAACUGCAUGAAGCGGGAAGCCCAAGCAACCCGUACUGGGCAAGAGUCCCGGAGGAAAAAAGAAACUGGUCAACUCGAACAAGUCCCCAGUGGCUCGUCGAAUCAAUUCCGCGAUCGCCGGAGUGUCAUUGACCGCAUCGUGAAGGGGAGGUUGUCCUCCUCGGACGCCGAGCUGACACCACUCAAUUUCAGUCGGUCUCACAUUCUGACUGUAAUGAGACAGAACCACCUCGGCCGAGCCCCUCCUGAGAUUCUGGGAAGGAAGGAGAAGAGGAACUCCAGCCUCUAUUGUGCCUACCACGGAGAUGUUGGGCACAAGACCGAGAACUGCAACGAUCUGAAAAGAGAGAUCGAGAACCUGAUCAAAUAGGGAUACUUGAAACAAUUCGUCUGCAAGGAUGGAGGCUUCAACCGAAGUGCCUCCCAUCAAGAUAAUCGAGGCCCUCGCCGAGAAAACAUGCGGGACACGAAGAGUCACUGCCAUGGGCCCGAGAACCAUAGGGAGGACCAGCGACCUCUGUGAGACGGGUCCCCCGACUACGGCCCCAACAUCACGGGGGUCAUUAAUACAAUUGCGGGUGACCCGACGGGAGGCGACAGCCAGAAUUCUCAGAAACGGACCUACCGUCAAGCCGGUAUGGAGUCAGCCGAGCCGAUCUCCCACCUAUCCGAGGUGAUCACCUAUGGUCCCAGCGACCCUGUCCCGACCGCGUCCAACAACCACGAAAUUCUCGUGAUUGAAGUUCUCACUAAUAAUUACAUAGUCAAGAAGGUUUAUGUCGAUUCCGGCAGCUCGGUAGACGUCUUGUACGACCGAACCUUCGAAAGUUUGAAACUGACCAGAGAGCAACUCAUUCCUGUCAGAACCCCUCUCGUCCGCUUCGGGAGACACGUAGUCCACCCAAAGGGAAUGGUGUCCCUGAUGGUGACUAUCGAACGUCACCCCUGCUGCCGAACUAUACCCGUUAACUUUGCGAUGGUCAAAGCAGAUUCCCUUACAACAUGUUACUAGAUCGGCCCACGCUCAACGCCUUGAGAGCCGUGUAUUCCACCUACCACUUAAGUUUCAAAUUCUUGACACCUGCGGGGGUGGCCGAGAUGAGCAGCGACGUGAACGCCGCCCGAGAAUGCUACCUCGUCACCAUCCAGGCCGCGGUCACUCCCUAUGCUGCGUCAAAGGCUGAGGAGAAGAGGCCAGCUGUCCUCUCCAUAGACAGUAUUGAUCCUCAGAAGACCGGAAAGCCCGGCAGGCUUGAGCCCGAAGACGAGGUGGAGGUGGUGGUCUUAGACGAGGCGAGACCUGACCAAAUGGUCCAAGUGCGGACGAGUCUUCCCUCGCCCCUAAAAGAAGAGAUGAUCCACCUGAUAAAAGACCACCGAGACGUUUUCGCGUGGUCCGCUAAUGAAGUGGUCGGAGUGCCCCCCGAACUCAUGAUCCACCAGCUUAACGUCAAUCUACAAGCCCGUCCUGUGAGACAAAAACGUAGGCACUUCGGCCCCGAACGCAGCAAUGUCAUAUCCGAUGAAGUCGAUAAACUCUUGCCUGUCAAGAUGAUCCAUGAAAUCUAAUACCCCACUUGACUGUCCAACUUUGUCAUGGUCAAAAAGGACACCGAUGGGUGGAGAAUGUGUGUGGAUUUCACCGACCUUAACAAGACCUGUCCCAAAGAUUGCUACCCGCUGUCGAGGAUAGACACCCUUGUCGACUCGGCAAUGGGACAUGAGAUCCUCUGCUUUCUAGAUGCCUUCAAGGGGUACCAUCAAAUGGGAAUGAGUGAGGAAAAUCAGGAGAAGACAGCGUUCUACACCGACCGAGGUGUCUACUGUUACACCACCAAGCCGUUCGGGUUAAAGAACGUCGGGGCGACUUACCAAAGGCUGGUCAACUGCCUCUUCAAGGAUCAGAUCGGCCGCAACGUGGAGGCCUAUGUGGACGACAUCCUCGUCAAAAGUCUAACCAAUUCGGCCUUCUUGUCAGAUAUAAGAGAGGUCUUCAGCAUCUUGCGGGAUUCAAGGAUGAAGUUAAAUCCUAAGAAGUGCGUCUUCGGCGUCAUUUCAGGAAAAUUUUUGGGGUAUUUGGUUUCCCGCCGGGGAAUAGAGGCUAACCCCGACAAAGUCAAGGCCAUUCAGGACAUGUCCCCACCUCGAAACUUCCGAGAAGUUCAGAGGCUAAAUGGACGCCUGGCCGCACUGAACCGCUUCCUGUCUCAAUCUGCUGAGAAAGUUUUACCCUUCUUUAAGGUGCUAAAGAAGGCCGACCAAUUCGUCUGGACCGAAGAGUGCCAGCAAGCUUUCGACCAAUUAAAACAAUAUCUGCACCACCUGUCUACUCUCGCUUCACCUCGACCCGAGGAGAAACUGUACCUCUACCUCUCCGCCGCCGACGAAGCUGUCAGCGCUAUGCUCAUCCGAGAUGAGGGCACUCAAGUACCUGUCUACUAUGUCAGCCGAGCUCUCCGCGGGCCGGAGACUCGGUACACCUAGGUGGAGAAACUCGUGCUAGGAUUAAUCCAUGCAGCUCGGCGGUUGAAACCUUAUUUUUUAGCUCAUUCCAUCUCCGUUAGGACAGAUCAGCCUAUUCGACAGAUCUUGGUGCGUCACGAGACUUCUGGGUGCCUCACCAAGUGGGCUGUCGAGUUAGGAGAAUAUGAUCUAUCUUAUGAGCCACGCACUGCCAUAAAAGCUCAAGCGUUAGCUGAUUUUCUUGCCGAGCUCACCUUCACGGAGAGCCAAGAAUCCAGUUCAGCCAUCGCCGAAGUGCCCGACCCGCACUUAUGGAUGUUGUAUGUGGACGGAUCCUAUAACGGAGAUGGCAGCGGCGCAAGAUUGCUCCUGGAGGGCUCACAUGGAGAAGUGUGCUCGUAUGCCCUCCGCUUCGACUUCCCUGCCACCAAUAAUGAAGUUGAAUACGAGACCUUGAUUGCGGGACUUCAUCUAACCCGCAGACUCGGUGUUCAACGGAUCCAUGUUUGCAGCGACUCCCAAUUUGUAGUAUGACAAAUUCUUGGUAAAUAUGAAACUAAGGAUGAGACCAUGCAACGGUAUCUCUCUAAAGUUCACCAACUCACUGCGUACUUCAAGUCUUUCGAAAUCCAAAGAAUACCCCGGUCGCAGAAUAGGCGGGCCGACGCCUUAUCCCGGCUGGCUUCCACCUCAUUUUCUGACCUCAAUAAGACGGUCCUAGUGGAAGUGCUGAACGAGUCGGGAUACAUGGAAGGGGUGGCCUGCCCCGUACACCCGGGAGAUACAUGGAUGAGCCCAUUCAUCCUAUUCUUAAGCCAGGAAAUCCUUCCCGAUGACCGAGCCGAAGCAAGAAAGAUCCAACGCAAAGCUGUUCGGUACGCGCUCCGCGAUGGGGAACUGUAUAACGGGUCCUACCUUGGCCCGUGGCUGAGAUGCAUUACGCUCGAUAAGGGACGCCAAAUCCUCCACGAGAUACACGAAGGUCUGUGUGGGACUCACGUCGGCCACAGGAUGUUGGCCAAGAAGACCCUAUUUCUCCGGUAUUUCUGGCCUUCUGUCCGACAAGAUGCCCAAGACCUUGUCCUCGGCUGUCCUUCCUGCCAGGCCCAUGCCUCCGAGCACCACCAACCCUCAAAGCUUAUGGUCCCAAUCACCUCACCCUGGCUGUUCGAGCAAUGGGGGACAGACAUCAUCGGUCCCUUUCCUAAAGCUGUCGGAGGGCAUACCUUCCUUGUAACCGCCGUAGACUAUUUCUCCAAGUGGGUCGAGGCCGAGCCUCUAAAGACCAUCACAGGUCUGGUGGUUCAAAAAUUCUUCUGGAAAUGCAUCGUUUGUCGUUUCGGCAUACCUCAGGUCAUCAUUUCAGAUAACGAAAAGCAGUUUGCUGAGAACCCGUUUAAAAGUUGUGUGAGAACCUCGGCAUCAAGCAACACUUCAUUUCGGUAGGCCACCCUCAGGCCAACGGUCAAGCGGAAAAUUUCAACCGAACUCUCUUGCAUGGCAUCAAAACCCGAUUGCACCAGAUUGGGUCAUUCUGGGUAGAAGAACUCCCAAGCGUCCUGUGAUCCUAUCGGACCACGCCGAGAUCGGCCACGAAAGAGACCCCCUUCUUCUUGACCUACGGAACCGACGCGGUCAUCCCUGUUGAAAUCCUCACACCCAAUCCUCGGUUGGUAGCUUAUGCAGCCGAGGUGAACGAAGAAGAAAGACAACUGGAUCUCGACCUCGUCAAAGAAAGAAGAGAUGUCUCCUCAGCUCGAGUUGCUUCAUACGAGAACACCUUGGCCCGUUACUACAAUGCCCGCGUAAAAUAUCGUCGAUUCCAACCAGGAGAUCUGGUCCUGAGGAAAAACUCAGUCAGCCGAGCUGAACCGCAAGGGAAAUUAUGCCCAAAAUGGGAAGGCCCUUACCGGGUUGUGGAAUCUAACCUAAGUGGGUAUUCUAAACUAAGCUAUCGAGAUGGUUCUCUAGUGCCAAGGACUUGGCACACCGAGAAUAUUAGAUUGUAUUGUACUUGAAAAUUUUAACAAGUUGUGACUUCAGACAUUUCGUUAUUUUUUAAUACCUUGAUAUCACACAUCCGUUAUUAAAUAAUAAGGGGGACAAGCAGGGGACGAAGCGAGAAAGUAAAAGAGCUUAGAUGAGAAGAAAUAGAGACUUCAUUUAAUGAAAAGGACAUUACAAAAAGAAUACAAGAACCGAAAUCAGGAGUGCUCCUAAGCACCUCCUGCCUCGGCAUUUCCCUCAACACCUACAAGCCUAGACCCCGGUCUCGACUCCCUAUUGGCCAAUCUUCUCACCGGUCUCUCCCGCGUCGGGAUGAGGCUCUCCUCCUCCCUCAUGCACCUCGCUAGUCUUCUCGCCGGCCUCUUCCCCGCUGAAAGUAGCCUCUUUUCCCCCUCUUUCUCCUUGAACACCUCGUCGAGCUCGGAUAACCAUUUGUUGAAUUCGUCCCGGACCUCGGCCAGGUUUCGUCCAGCUUGGAUGCCCUCGACCAUCCGAUCGCACAGCUCCUUGGAGUUCUCGUUGUAGUUGGCCUUGUUCCUCAAGGACUCCAAGACCUCGGAGGAGAGAUGAGGUGCGGCCUCGUCUAUAGCAUAUGUGUAGCUGAACAUGAAGUUCGGCAUGGUCAGUUCGCCGAGGUCUUUGGUGAAGGUUUCGGACCUCCGAAAAGCCUCCAUCGCCGAGGCUCUAGCACCCUUGAGUGCCUGUUCGUGGGACUUCUUCAUCUCGUCCCCCAUUUUCUGCUCCUCCUCGAGAGUCGAUCUGAGGCUGUUUAUGGUAGCCUCGGCCUCCUCCUCCUUCGCUUCGGCCUGCUGAAGUCGCUUCUGGAGUUCCGUCUUCUCAGACUCAGACACCGCAAGUUUUUUCUCCGACUUGGAGAUCUUAUUUUAAAGCUUGCCUGAUUCCUGCGCCUCGACCAGUCACUAUACCGUUGUGCCAUCUCGGCCACAAAUGCCGUGGUGGAGGUCGUGGCCACCAUGACGCUUUGGACCACCUCGACCGGAAUCAGUUUCUUUGAAAACUCCACGUCCCUCGGCAGGCUCGAGUGCAUCACUAACUCCUGCGCGGCCCGAGGCUGUGUGCACCUGUCGUUGACAGAGAGCUUCCAGUUCGGACACCACUGCUCGCCGGGGUGCGUCUUGUCUUCCCCAAGAAACACAGGGGGGCUAUGGAAACGAUUCCAUAGUGAAGACCCCGUGACCGAAUUGACUGGGGGCUUUAACUGUUUGCCUCGGUCAUGAGAAAGCGUUAGUGCCGUUGUGACUCCCUGGAGGGGCACCCCUUCUGGCACUGACGAGGUGGACUCUGUGACUGCCGUGGCCGAAUUACUUUUGGCUGCCGUGGCCGGGGUGCUCUUAGCCACCGCAGUCUUGACAACCUACCCUUGUGGUUUCUUUUUCGGCGGAAGUGCCAAUGUCUCGUCCGAGCCCUUCCUCUUUGACCUCUUGGCCACCUCUGCUGAGUCGGAGGUGAUGAUGUCGGACAAUUUAACCACUGCAUAAGGAGCAAACAUUAUUAUUUGUAACAGCCGAAGUGAAAAGAAAACUAAGAAAGAAAAGUUACAAGGCUUCUUUAGUCUAGUGGAAAGGAAUGGAUGCUUCUCAGGGUUGAUCACGGCUCGGCUAAUCCCCCCAUCGACCAACACUGCCUCGGGGUAGUCCCAACAAUUGAUCUGAAACCCUGACCCCAUCAGCUUCUGGAAGGCCUCCUCGUCAUGAUCCCCCGCGGAAGGGUCGGCUUUCGAUUUGAGCGGCCUCCACCAAAAAUCCCAAGGGAAGUCCGCGGCUGGGACGAAGACGAAGUCGCCCUUCCAGUUAUUUAUCGAAGUGGGAGCGUCGACCACGAGCUUCGGAAUGAAUUUGUUCCGGUUGCAGACGUAGAACCAUCCCUUAUUCGUCCCGUGUGCCUUGAAAGUGUAGCACCGACGAAAAAGGUUAACGGUGAUCUCAAACCCCACCAAAAUGUGGACCGCGUUCGGGGUGAGUUGAGUGAUCCUGACGCCGAAGUGCCGGAGUACGUCCUUGAAGAACCUUGACGUCGGCGUUCUCAGCCCAACCUCCAACUACUGAAGGUAAAUCACCACAGUGCCCAUUGGGGGCUUCUCUGCAGAGUCAUUCGGCCCGGGCGACCUGAUGAGAUACCCUGCCCUGAAGGGGUAUUUCCUUAUCACCUUUUCGCCCCCUGUCUUUCCCGACGCGGCUCCUAAACAUCGGCAUCUUGCCGAAGUCAAUUUUGGCGACAUCCUUUGGAGCUACCGGUUCUAGCACACCCUCAUCGUGGGGUAUUUCAGUUCCGAGAUCAUCGUUAUAUAUGACCUCGGAACCACCCUCACUCAUUUCGAAAGAUUCCGAUUCCGGGGUGGUUUCGGCAGUUUCUUUCUCAGCAGUUUCUUCCGCGGCACUAGACGUCGACUCCUCAGAACUGGACGAGGUCGUGUCUUCUGAAGGGUCGGGCCUUUCCUCGGCUUGGUAGCUCGGUUUCACUGUUUCUUUGUGGAUUUUAGCCAUUUUGGCCAUGAGUGAAAGACGAGAUGAAAAGAAAAAUACUUACUAUUGACUAUGGAAUCGGACGAGAACGAAGACUUCGUCUGUGUUCUCGGCUGAAGAAACUGAUCUCGGCAACGCUCACGAGUUUGCAAGUCCAAUGCGAAGAUGGAAAGUGAUGGGUAGUGCGGUGAAAAGGGAAUCCGAAGAGGCGGCAAGAGCGCAAACAGGUGGUCACGUUCGAAUUCAAAAGGACGUGUCUCUCUCUCUCUUCAUUAAUGUCCCGUCCUUUCAACUGACGCCUUCUCUGCACCAAGCGUCCCACUACCUUAUGACGCGACGGUUACCCAUGACCGCUCUGCUCCCCACGUCCUCUCAACUGACCUGCUCACGUGUCACACCCCCUCAUCUCCCGGAACAAGUUCAGAUCCCAGAAUCUGAACGACCGCGACACAAGAAAACCUCGGUACCUCACGAGCCCCUGAGCUCCCGAGACUUGAGGGGCUUAUUGAGAAUGCUCACCUCGGCCACCCCCGGUGCCGAGGUGAUUUCACUUCAUCCGUCACUCAAGCGCGGUCAUGUCCUGAACAUGACCCCUGGGUUCGGUCAAAUCUCCGGCCUACAGUAUGGAUGACCUCUGUACCUUAGGCUCCCACCUCGGCUGCACGCUGAUGAUGUCAACACGCCUGACAUCACACAGAACCAAGGCUUUAUCUGAAAAGCACCUGAUGCUCUUAAUGGCUGCUGCACAAGACUCCCCGUCAUCAUGUCCAGACGGCUACAGUGUCAGAGUCAAACCUCCUGGUAGAGGACAGAGCCGUAAUGGCCAGGACGUGGGUCCCACUAACAUGAGCCCUCCGUUCUGUCUUCCACUCCUACCCUAUAAAUACCCCCCACUCACUUUCAACAAGUAAGACUACUAUCACAUUCUUACUAUUCAUUACUCUUUAUUUUUCCUAUAUACUAACUUGAUCGUCGGAAUGAUCCCAGAGGAGAAGCCCCGCCAUCCACUUCGGACAAGCGAAUUCACCACACUUCACUUGAGAGAGAACUGAUUCAGGUCAGCUCUAUUACCCGCCAGAAAUCACCUUUUCAGGGGGCAGGAACGUUAAUCCUUGAAAAAUGACACAUGUUAAAGUAUAUUUGCUAUUUGUCAUUUGCAACUAAGGAAAACGUUAAAACUAAUAAAUAUAGUAAAUUUUACUUAGAAAAGGUUAUUGAUAAGUUAGUUUAACUAGGAUUUUUAUGUCUAAAUGAAAUAUUAAAAUAAAAUAUUUUACUUAGAGAGGCUUUUUGAUAAGUUAAUAUAACAAAAUAUUUUUCUAACUAAAAUAUAGUGAUUUAAACAUUUGAACUAAACAAACUAAAAAUUACUCCCUCCGUCCCACUUUGAUAGUCUUGUUUUCCUUUUUCGUCUGUCCCAAAUUGUAGUCCACUUUCCAAUUGAAGAAUGUAGUUGUAUUUUAAUUUUCCUAAAAUGCCCUUAUUCAAUGUAAGUUGUUGUUACUAUAAACCUACCCCAUUUAAUGAGAGUUGAUUCUUUUUUUACCAUCAAUUCAAGUUCCCAUAAAGUUGUACUCUAUUUAAUGUGAGGGUAUUUUAGGAAAAUAGCUAUCUAAAUUUACUUUUUCAACAAAGUUAACUACUUUUUCUUAAACUGUGUGAAAAAAGAAACGGGACUAUCAAAGUGGAACGAAGAGAGUAUUAAAUUGCAUUAAUUGAAUUGAUUAAAUAGUAAAAUAAUUCAAGAAUAUAUGUCAUAUUAUUAGAAAUCUUUUAGAAAACAUGGACUAAUAAAUCUCUAGUAUAAUAGAUUUCCACGUAUUUAUUCCAUUACAAUCUACACACAACUUUCAACUUUUUACUCUUCCUAUGCUUUGGUACAAGACGUUUCCUCCUGCCCAUUCGUUCAUGCGCGUCCAACUUCCACUACCACUAUUUUCCGCAGGUGGCCAUAAUUAAUAAUGUUUCUCACGCGUGUGUCGCCGUAUUGUGCUCCUACGGUAGGAAUGGUCAAUGCGUUCCUACCGUAAAGGGCAGUUGUCAGCUAUACCUUUUCAAUUGUCGCAGACAUUAUUUCUAGCCUCAUAUUUCACUGGCUUUUGAUCAAAAGACAUCCACACCCAAAAGCAGCUAGCAACCAUGUCAAAGCCAAUCAUCAUCAAAAAAUUGUAGUACUAAUUUUCUAUCUUUUAGUAAUUGUUUUGAAAUGGACUCAAAAAACGGAAGAAUAGAUAGAGUUUCAUAGUCAAACAUGUGAAAUUGAGUUGGAUACUUGGAUCUCAACAAUACUGAAUGAAACUACUGUAAUUUAAAACAAAUUCAGAUUUAGAUUCUUUUUUUUUUCCUUUCAGCUAAGCAGGGGAUUUUAGAUUCUUUUAGGUGUCAGGAAUCGUGGGCUUCACCAAGGGAUUGGAGUUUAGGGCUUUUGUGAAUUCUUGGAAUGGUUUGUCAGCAGACCUCUUGACGGGGGUCGCUCAGCCUGUGGUUGCGGUGCUGGCGAGGGAAGGCGGCCUUGAGCAGUUGAAGUACUAAGAUGUUGUAGUAUUUCACUUAGAUGGUACGAGGAACUGGACAAAGCAGGUAACAAGUUAUGGACUGAGAUAGAAUAAGUUAUAGGACGAGAUCUGUAACUAUUGCCCAAGUUAUGGACUGUAACAUGAAGAUUUUCCUUUGGCAAAUGAUAGGGUGCAUUUUAGUGGGUAUUUUGGGCAUUAUUGCAUAAUUAAUUGACUGAAUAUUUUCAUUAAUUGGGUGGAUUCUACUGAUAUUUUGUUUUGGUGCUAAUUGCAGGAGUGGAUGAUGAAAAGUGCUUAAAUUCGAGUUUUAGAAGAUCCAUCGUACAUGGGGCCCGCUUGAGGAGCUGAAGACAUUUAAUUGUAAUAGAUUUUACUUUAUUUUUAUUUUUAUUUGAGGGAGUCUUGUUACUUCUAUUUUGAAAAAAAGGAAAAAAAACACAACAAUUGGCAAGAGGGAAAAAUCCCUUCCCUGAACUUCGGACGAGAACAGAGGGAAGUAUUAGACUUCCGUAGGUAGGCUUAAGAGGGGAACUGAACUUUUCGUCGUGGUUAGGUUUUCUUUUACGUUUUUUUCCCUGCCUCUGAAGGAGGUUGCCCGUAGCUUUUGUAAAAGGAGCAAAAAGCAAGUGAGCCACCAUUAUUGACCUUGUAUUGUCUUUCAUCUCUGGUUGACUUUGGAAUUCUUUGGUUUUUCCCAAUUGAAUUGAGAAAUUGAGAAAUCAAGCAAUUGAGGAACCUUUUCUCUCCUCCAAAAGUUACCGGCUUUUGGAGUUACUGUGGGGAGUUAGGUUUAUUUGCCAAAAAGUAAGAAAAUGUCAGAGAGAGAGAGGAACCUUUUCUCUCGUGUAUCUUGCUCAGCAAUUAGGAAAAGAAAAUAAGGGCCGCAAUUGUUGACUAUUAGCUUUGCUUUCCAAUUGGUUUUGACCGACAUUGAAAUAGGGCCUCAGACCCUCGUUUGCGUUGUUCUUUGGGAUAAUAUCAGAAACCUCCCCUGAGGUUUCUUGAAAUAUCACUAAGCUCCUCCCACAUUUUGGAAAUCUCUCUUACCACCCUUUGAAUUGACAUUUUCUUAACAAUGUCAGCCCCUCUAAGCAAAAGUAACAAUAGAAAAUGCAUUUUGGAGGAGGGAGAGUAUUUUAGUUCCCUUCAUACCCUUAGGUUGACUGAUACAGUGACAUAAGAAAGUUGCAGUAGGUGGAAAAUGUGAAUUGGAGAGUAUUUUUCUGGCAUGAGCACUGUUGCAUGACCAUUGGACAUGCAAUGGCUUCAUUGAGUGCUUCUAGUUUCUCCUUUAAAAGGUGAAACUACUGCUUGAAAUAGCUGCGUAGAUGGAGAGGUAACUGGGCAAAGAAAUGGCUAAUUCAUCCUUUAAUUAGGACACUCACACAAUUAAACUAAUUAAACUCAUCCUUUAGGGUUUAUGAAAUGGAUGCAUUUAAUUAAGUCACUAAUUAAACUAAUUAAAUUACCUGCGAGUAUUACUUUCACAUAAUUAAUUUAUGUUAAAUACAAACCCUACCAGUUUCGCUUUCGUAAAAAUUUGAGUAUAAUACUUUUUGAAUUUUACUUACAACCAUUUGUAUAUUUAAUAUAAAUUAAAUGAUUCAGAGUAAAAUACUUAUAAAUAGUUAUUACUUUGUUCGUGUAAUAGAGGAAACCCAUAAAGAGCUGAUAUGUUAUGGGCAAUUUCUUUUUUUUUUUUUUUACCUUCACGUAUUUAAUUUAUGUUAAAUACAAAACCUACUAGUUUUCCUUUCGUAAAAAUAGUAGUAUAUCACUUUUUAAAUUUUACUUACAAACAUUUAUGUAUUUAACAUAAAUUAUAUGAUUCCGAGUAAAAUUCCUAUAAAUAGCUAGUACUUUAUUCAUAUAAUAGAAGAAACCACCAAAGAGCUAGUAAAAAGUGGGUAAUUUCUUUUUUUACUUUCACAUAUUUAAUUUAUGUUAAAUACAAAACCUUCUAGUUUCCCUUUCGUAAUAAUAUUAGUGUAAAACUUUUUGAAUUUCACUUAUAAACAUUUAUGUAUUUAAUAUAAAUUAAAUGAUUCAAAGUAAAAUACUCAUAAAUAGCUAGUACUUUAUUCAUAUAAUGGAAGAAACUCGUAAAGAACUAGUAUGUUAUGGACAAUUUUUUUUUACUUUCAAAUACUUCAUUUUUAUUUAAGGGAGGUUACUGCUAUUUCUGUAAAAAUAUUUGUGUAAUGGCUUUUGAAUUUUAUUUGCAAAUAUUUAUGUAUUUAACAUAAAUUAAAUGAUUCAGAAUAAAAUGCCCAUAAAAAUCUAGUACUUGGUUCAUGUAAUAGAGAAAAGCCAUAAAGAGUUGGUACUUUAUGAGAUAUUUAUUUUUUAAAAAAUAUUUAAUUUAUGUUAAUUAGAUAACCUACUAGUUUUUUUUGUAAGGAAUUACUAUAACACUUUUUGAAUUUUACUUAAAAACGUUUAUAUAUUUAUUAUAAAUUGAAUGUUGGAGAGUACAAUGUCCACAAAAAGCUUUAAGAGUAAAAUAUUUAAUUGUUUGAAUUUCUUUACUUUAAAUUUUUUUCCCUUUUAUAAGGUAACAACAGAAACAAGGGUAUUAUUGGCAACUGAUGAAGUCAACUAGUGACUUCUGACCCCACAAUCACUUGAGGGGUGGUAAGAGAGAUUUCCAAAAUGUGGGGGGAGCUUAGUAAUAUUUCAAGAAACCUCAGGGGAGGUUUCUGAUAUUAUCCCUUGUUCUUUUUGGAGACAAUUGGAGGCCAUAAAAUCUUGUGUUUCUUCCUCCUGGGGUUGACCGGAGUGGGAGAACCGACUUGCGAACCUUUCCCCCUUCCACACGCGCGGUUUGUCCUUCAUUAAUGGCGGGCUAAUUCCCUAAUUCUAGACAAGGGGGCAACUGAUGAAUUGGUUCAACUAAUACUGUGAGAUCUAAACCAUUGUUAAUUGUUCUCUUCAUUUAUUGAUAUUCAUAUGUUCCCUGAUUUUAAUUGUUAUAGUCUUGGGUAUGAUUGAUUAGUGCGCAAUAAUUAAUUAUUCACAUAGGCUAUUUUGCUAUAUAGGGGUAAUUGAAUCCGUAAUUGUUCGUUAUCUCUAUUUUAGUAGCAACUGGCAUAAUUGGAUUUGUGUCAGGGGAAUAUUUGAUCUAAUUUAAACGAACCCUCGUAGCGUGUUUGUUAGUUAGGAUUGGGCCUUUCUAAUUAUUAAUGCGACCUAGAAAUUAAAUCCUACGGUCGUACCUGGGGUUGUUUUUGGGUUAGAGAAAUAGCUAACGGUCGUACCUUAGCUAUCGAUAAAUUAAGGAAGGGUUGGUUGUUUAGCGCGUGCGAGACAACUAUAACCAAUCUAUUAAUAAAUGUUGGAAUUAUCUGUGAUUCGAUGAUCAGUUGCAUGAACCAUUUCUGAAGUAUACCCUUGGCUAGAGUUUCUCUUAGUUAUUUCUUUUAAUUAAUUAUUUUCUACAUUUAAUUUGUUUAGUUGGCAUUUGAUACCAAAACCCCCCAUUAAUCUUGAUUUGAAAAGAAACAAAAUUUCUCUCCAGUCCCUGGGGAGACGAUCCUGCUUACCACUGUCUACUAGUUAGAGAAUUCAGUUAAAUAAUUAAUUCAGGUAUAUCGGAUUAAACAAACUCUUCGGGAACAGGGUGAAUCAAGUAACCCAUUGCACACCUAGAGUCCCUGCUCCAGUACUCGAAUUGAUUAUUAACUGUCUUAGGUGGUAGUUAGGUUUUAUUUAUUAUUAUUACACAGGUUCGGCACCUGUCAGCAAAUUAUGGACCAACCUUCCAGGUUCGACCAAAUUAUUAAUCUGUUCAAUUUUCUGUGGAGUCAGCAAUACUUUGUUGCGAAAAACUAGUCUAGUCUAGGGGAGUAUUUCCAGCCACAAAAGGGAAAUUAACAAGAAAGAUUGUUCCUCUACUACAGUUCCCGGCUGCCAACAUCUGUGCAUGCAUCCAGAUAUAGUAAGUUGGAUGACAGCUUUUACAGUAACGACAUUGUUGGAUCAACUGAUAUUCUUGACUCCCAGGUUUCUGCAGGUGUACUGAAUUACUGAUCACGAUACAACUUGUCUAGGUUUCACCUACUAUAUUACAGCAAUGAAAGACCUCUAGUUCUAGUCAUCCUGUUCAUGAAAAGUU